rnacentral:tRNA from 1 species
CGCGGGGUGGAGCAGUUGGCGCUCGUCGGGCUCAUAACCCGAAGGUCGUAGGUUCAAGUCCUGCCUCCGCAACCA